GUUGACGUUAAUACCGUCAUCGUAAUACAUUAUUGUUUCUAUAGUAACGGCUAACGCGGGGAGAACCCAAAAAAAAAAAAAUGUGUGAGGAGACGCAGUUAAUAUUGAUUGGAAGGAGUCUCCAGUGUCAGAGGUGACGCUGUAACUCUACGUGUCCUGCCGCCGGUACGUCUUUGCACUUUGCAGCAAAAGAAAGCUCGCGAAGUGGAGACUGCUCAAGCGAGAACGCAACCUACGGCGUUAAACGCAACUAUAAACGGAUAAAAGUUCUUACGUUAAUGCUAUCGUUGGAGUUGGCAAACCUUCCGCGUUAGAAGGGGAAGGAAACUCGUAGGGGCGUGCUGUUAUUGGAAAAUAGUUCUGAUACCGGUACUGGAACAAGUACAUUUCUUUUCCAAAUCCGGUUCCAAGCUCUUUAAAAUAAAUAAAUAAAUAAAUAGAAUUAGCUUCUGGGUGUUUUAGCGCCCCCGUUGUGUUUUAUUCCUGACAUUUCAGACGUGUACGGCAAGAAAAUGUAUUCAUGACGCACACGUUAUAAAUGAAGUGUGCGUAAAGGCCGCACAACGACGAGUCUGACUGUGACACAGGGCUUGUUUUUUUUGUUGUUGUUGUUGUUUUGUCAGCGAUUAAGCCUACUAAACCAACUGGCCUUUUUGUGAUUCAUUCGUACCCCGGUACUUUCCUGGCAGUUUGAGUUCACAAGUCAUCCCGUUACAGCAGAGAGGACCGUGAUGUAUUACCUGGAGUCGGUCAGCUUCUCCGAGGACGCUACGUUCACCUCUGUGUCAUUACUGUAAAGGUCAGAGAAACGGAUGGAUCUUUUGAAGCUUCAUCUUUCUUGCUCCCCACCACCGCUACAUCUCCCCCACCCCCAACCUAAUAUCUAAGUUGAGAGGAGAGCAGAAAGGGGCGUCGAGACACAAAAUAACAGACAUAUCUCAGCUAGACGUGAUGAGGGAGUACGCCUUAAGUUCUUUGUCCGUCUUUCCGUCUCGUUGCGUUAUAUUACAGUACGAAUUGUAUCGUACAUAAUAGGUGUUCAAAGGUGUUAAAAUGGAGGAGGGGGAGGGGGGAGGAAGUCACCAGCCUGUAAUUUCCUGUCUCUCUUUCUCGCCCCAUUCCCUGCUCGUUUGUGCCUGGGAAGGUCGCGGGCUCCUCAGACCCAUCGACUAAGUGCAAUUUGCAUGCAAGUCGCAAAAUGAGAAAAACACUCCCUGUUCACGUGAUUAAACAGUUAGGAUUCGAUUUUAGACGCCAUGCGAGUUAUCCGUGGUCGAAGGAUUCGUUUUUUUGUUUGUUUUUGUUUUUUUUAAUAUCGAGCUCAUGUGUAAACCACGCGCACGACACAUAUCGUUUUUAAUGAUUUGCCGGUCAGGGUGCCGUGUCCGAGACCUCCGUGUAAUAAAGUUCUGCGGUGGUGGAGUUGACAGGCUGUGUACGCUCGGUGAGUAAUGAACACGUCAAAGCGCGACCUGCUGACGUACCCUCUGUCCCCAACACCUGCACACUUUAUUACAGAAAGAGGCCCACAACAGCUUUAAUAACGGCGAGACGGAGUGAUGUCGCGCGUCAGAUUAAUACAGGCGCAAAGCAACAUUAACUGUACGCGGGCAUUUUGUUUGGCAACCUCGACGGGAGACGAGAAAGGAAACGGUAACAUAAGUAGAGGUAAUAAAGGAGCGGACGAGAUGGAGCUCUCUCGCAUCGAGUCAAGGAUACUCGCCGAACAACUCUUCCUCACUUUCUCCGUCUUUGUGAACAAGCAUGAAAGUACUUGCUGCUUUUAUUCAUGUCCUUGAGUGUGAUAUGGUCACGAUCCCAGAAUCCAACAGUAGUCUGGCGUCCUUUUCUUUAUCCUUUAGAUUCCGAGCUCGACCCUGAAAUUAAAAGUUAGAAAAAUCUUCCUGAACUGUCUAUGCACAGCAUGAAAAACCCUCACCGGCCACUUGAAUGGCUGUGCAAUUUCCCGGUCAGCCAAUCACGUGGCAUAAAAUCAUGCAGAUGCGGGUUUCGGUUAACGUUAAGAACGGGGGAAAUGGGACGGUUGUUGCUGGUACCAGAUGUGCUGAUUUGAGUAUUUCAGAAACCACUGAUCUCCUGGUCUUUUCACACAGCAAUCUAUAGAGCUCACACGGACGCAUUGACUGAGCAGCAGGUCUGUGGGUGGAGACGCCUUGUCGAUGAGAGCGGUCAGAAGAUACUGCCCCGACUAGUCUGAGAUGACAGGAAGGCUACGGUAUCUCAACCCCCCUUCGAACGCACAGCACAUCAAACCUUAUGGUGGAUGGCCUAGAAAAAGACCAAGCCAUCAGGUUUUCCCAGAUGUUUCCAGCUGUCCUGUAUCUGUGUCCGAAUAUGAUGAUUUGAUAACUGUAUGACCGUCCAAGUGUACAUGUACAUGUAGAGCAGACGGUGAAUGAAUGUCCACGUCAUCACUGACUAAACUAUCGUUAAGCCUGAUCCCUUCAUCUACUCGAUGACGCCAUGUUGUUUUAAUCACGGUUUAAUGUGACGUGAAUUCUCUUUAUAUAAGUGUUGAGCUACUAUGAGUGUUGAGCUGGUGCGUUCAGGAUACAGCAGUCAUCUUCUAGUACAGCAGGGUAUCCAGCCCCACGUCUCCAGUUGGGUUUCCGCAGGAGAUGAUGGAAAAGAGUACUUCCCAGAGUGUCUUCAUACUGAAGGAAAAGCACAGAACCUCUUUCCCCCGCCCAGGAGAUAACGGAAGCUGUACCGGCGUGUCAGUUCAGACAUGAUACACACUCACCGGUCAGUUUGGGUGAGCCUGUGCCCAUGAUUGGUCUCAGAUUCCUGUUCUUGGCUGACAGUGGAGCGAGCCCAUUCACCUCAAGCUUCAAAGUUUUGUGCAUGCUGAGAUGCUUUUCCGCUCAGCACAGUUGUAAAAAGUGUUUCGAGUGCCUAAACAUUAAUUGUGACCCCGUGGACCCAAGUUCCGUGCAAGACAUGCCGAGCUGUACGAUACCCUUCUGAAAAGCCAAGAGGAGUGACCACAGCCAAAAUGAUCCAUCUUUUAUCUGUUUAUCUACACUUCGAGAAUCUCAGACCUGCUUGUCCCAAACAAAGUUGCAAAAACAAUGAUGCAAAAGCAACGCAACUCAAUACAUACUACAAAGCAGACAGUCUCCCCGUCCUUCCAUCACUUCAAGAGACUCCAACUUGAUGAAGACCUAGACGAGCAUGGUGAUUGUGUUAUCAUCAGGAUGAUGCUGCGCGCUCAAUCAUCCUGUCAGUCGAGUGAGGAAAUAACCCAAGGCAGGAUUUUUUUUUUUUUUUUUUUUUAUUGUGCAAAAUACUGAAUUGUACUGCAACAAAGAGAACGAGGAGAUCUAGUAAGUCAUCAACAGACGCGUAAGCGGUAUUGUCCGUGUAACUAUAAUGGAAGAAAUUGGAAUUUUAUUAGCUUUUGGUACUCUGCCUAUGUAGGUUGAAACCGUCUUGUGUAUGAGGUUGGAUAACUAAAGCUGAAUAAAAAGUUGCAGUCUACUGAACUGCAAUCUGCCUUCAUGUCCUCCUAAAGCCUUUUUCCUCCUUACGUUUUGGGGUUCUACGAAGAACCUUUAACGUUUCAGAUUCGAUUCAAUUCCAUUUUGUUGGUAAAGUGCUUCAAAGUUGGCACUGUCACAGAUGAAACACCUGACAGUGAGAUUAUAAAUCAUUGCAGUAUACCGGUGCGGAAGAGUAAAGAAGAUUUGUACUAAGUGUGUUAAAAGGAUAUUCGGUACUAGCAGAUUGAAUAAGAGUGCUGGGAUGAGCCCAGGACAGCCUUUAUGAUUACAGCAGCAUCUUGGAUACAUAUCUACAGUGUCCAAUACAACCAAAGAUUUCAUUUCCCAAAGGCAUGUCUCAUGAGACUCUGCAAAUGUGGGGAAAAGCUUCUCUAAUCUGACGAGUCCAAAACGGGACGUUUUGGCCUUGGCACAAAGUACUACGUUUGGUGGAAAGCCAGCAGUUCUCAUCACCCUGAGAACACCAUCCUCACACUGAUGGUGGUGGUGGUGGUGCUGUCGUUCUUGGCCAAUUGAUUGCUUCUCUGACUAAAUCCCUCUUUACUCAGUAUUGGUACUUUUCUAGAACUUUGUCCCAGACUUAUUUUAUUAGCUCUUUGGUCUUCAUUAUGCUGUUUCCUUGGUCUUCGUGAUGCUUCGGGGUCGUCCAGGAACCGGUGCGUUCAUAUUGAGAUCACAGGACACUUUAAUUGCACACAGGUCAACUCCUUUCAACUAAUUAUGUGGCUCCCGAAGGCAACCGGUCACACCAGAACUCAUUUAGGGGUUAGCUGUUCUUGGGUUCAAAUCUGCAGUGUCCAGGAUGAACCAAAGAACCACUGAGGUUACUAGAUUUAAUCUUUUUCCCUCCACAGAGUUCUGCCAGAGGUCCAAAGUAAGGUACCAGAGGAACCAACCUUAACCUUCAUUUUCUUAAAGACAUCGAUCAUAAUCCAGUCUCUUUACGGCUUUACGGCUGCAGUGGUAUGGAUUAAAGGUAUCGCAGAAGUGACUUCAGGUAUCUGCGUCCGUUCGAUCUACCCAACACUCACCUCAGCAUUAAAAGUGGUGCUAACUAUUCGAUCAGCACACUAGUGAGAGCUCUAUCCAAUUAAUUACAGCAAUCACUUCAGGGAAGCAGCAGCAGCAGCCCACAACUAACGAACGGACACGGCCAAAUCGGUGCGAGUCGCAGCCAAAGCAGAGGGAAGCAGAUGGAGGGAUGCAGAGACAUGAGUGCCGGGGAAAAGGAUGAGCACGAGGCGAACUGUGGAGCACGCGCAGGUGUUUGGCUCAUAAUGUGGGCCAGGAUGGUUGUUAAGGUGUUAAGAGAGUUGAGUCGAUCGGGGCGUAAUUUCUUCCUUCUGUCUCUGUCCGUAGUUAUAGCCAUUAAUCAGCCCGUUCCCACAAGCAUAAAAGAGCUGAUUAUCUAACCAAAAAAAAAACCCAGCACAAUCAGCUGGGCUAGGCAUAUCAACACACGUGCACGUGUGUGCGUGAACACCUUUUUCUUGAAAAUUUGGAGGCUAAAGCUUGCUAAAUGAGUUUCUAAUGACGGAGCACAUUGCGUAAAUCUGCACAGGUUGAGGCCAAUGCUGAACGGG
ensembl:lncRNA